rnacentral:tRNA from 1 species
GGGGCUGUAGCUCAACCGGGAGAGCGCGAGUUUUGCAAACUUGAGGUAGUGGGUUCGACACCCAUCAGUUCCACCA